UUUAAAGCUCUUUGAAGAUCUUCAUCCUUCCUUUGAAGAUCUUCAAGGUUCUUGGGGAGGGAGCAAUUUGGUGAAUUUGAAAUAUUUUUGGGAUUUUCUAUAAAUCUUGAAGCUUUUUGGGGUUCUCUAUAAUUUAGAAAAAUUAUGGCAGAAAUAAGAAGGAAAAAGACCCCCGGAGGGCGACGACUAGAUGGCAUAGCGAGCCGUGACUCCUCGACUAGGGGAGGCGAGAGUUUCAUGGGAUGGUAUACCAAAUGAACACUUUAGGGGACCCGGGAUCAUAUCUGUAAUUCCAUGUGGGGCACAUGGGUAAGUCUUCUUUUUCUUUUCCUUAUUUAUUAUUAUUUUCUUUUGAAAAAAAAAUCAUGCAUUUGUUAUUAUUGUUGUUUUCUUCUCCCUUCUUUUAGGUGCCCCACGAGGAUGGGCCUCGCACAUUGGCCAGAUACGGCCAUCCCAACAUGGUUCGGGAUUGGUACUAGGUACUUCCCUAUAGGGUCAAGCAUACUGUGGAUGGAUCUUACCUGAAUUGUGUGGCCUUAUUAGAGACUAAGAAGUUCAACCCCAGGUUGGUGGGAGGAUUGAUCGAGCGAUGGUGGCUGAGCACACAUUCUUUUCAUCUUCCCAUGGGCGAGAUCACCAUUACACCCCUCUGUUUCUAUGUCCUGACAGGUAUACCAUUUGGAAGUAUACCCUUGACGUUGCCUGAGGCCAUGGGGGCAAAGGAUUUCAUGGAUUAGACCUAGAUUGCUAUUCCUGUUGAUCAGACAUCCAUUUUCCUGGAUGAUAUUACAGUUCGUUAGUAGAGACCCGAUCUAAGAUUGACUCCCGACAUGAUCCCACAGUUGGCCUGUUCCUUCCUCUUGUUUUCUAUGGGGCAGUGCCUCUUUAGCACCCUCCGAGGCAGGAUAGAUACUCGUAUGGCUACUCUUUUUUGGAACCUCUUAGGACUGGGGUAGGGCAACUUUUGCAUACCAGUUGCAGACGCUUGAUCUUUUGGCAUAAAGAGAUCGUGGCCUCAAGGGAGCGGUCUACAUUAUCCAGCCCUUGUGUUACGAGCAUCUGGGGAUUAUGGCUCCCAUACUGAGUGACCCACAGGCAUCCUUCUUCCCUGUGACCACAAGAUGGGGAGAUCGUUAGAUUAUUAGGGGCCGACACCUUCCUCCAGGGACCACCGCUCGCUCUCUCUUGAAAGAGCUUACCGAGGUAAGUCAUAUUUGGCUCUAAGUUUUCCUUUGCCUUAUGCUUUACUUAUUGCUUCUGAACCUAUAGGUCUCGUGGAGACCUUUUUGGCACCUUGGUUUCCCAGUUGCUGAGGAGGUUGCUUGGGUAAGACACCUGACUAAGAACAGAGUCCUGUUUUGAGGCCUUUGGGGCCAUGUCUGGUAUCUAGGGGAGCAAGUCACUCUUCAGUGGUAUGGUGCAGAUCGACACUUUCUCCUUGCCUUCCUCCUUACUAUGCAUCAUCCAGAGCUGAUACCCGAGGACAAGGUUGAAGAACUAGCCGAAGGAUAGAGAUUAUGAGGCCUUCCUUGAUAAGGAGACAUUCUGUGUCCCCCUUAGCCCCACAGGUCCAAUGUGGAGGACACGCCCUGCGGUCCCUUCUUCUGUUCAGCCACAACCGAGUGCUGUCGGUCCCUCCUUUUCCGAAACUUCUGUUGCUACAGCUUCUAGAAUGAAGACUGGAUGGGGACGCCUCUCUUGGAUCGCCUAUCCCUUAUGACUGUGUGUCUCCGGAGGCCUAUGCAGAGAUCAGACGAAUGCAUCAGGGCCUUUGCGAUGAACUAUUCCUUCAGGGUGGGGAGAAUGCUUCUUUGAGGGGACAAGUUAAUUACCAGAGGGAAGUGAUCGCUCGACAAACUACUCAGAUUCGGGAUCUCACGAUAAGAAUGGCGAUUUCGCGGUUGGCACCUGAUGAAUCUUCGAUGUUCCCUGUGGAUGACCUCGAGUAUGGCUUGGAUGAGGAUGCCGAUUCCUAGAGACCUAUUCCUGUUGUUCCUACAAAACACAGAUGUUGCUUUUUUUCUUUUUCUUUUUCUUUUU